rnacentral:lncRNA from 1 species
CGCCGUGUCUCCUCCCCGGCCCUGGCUCGUCCCACCUCAGCCACAGCCCGGCCCCCUGGCCGGCCGAGGUCUCGCCGCCGGCGCCCUGGGGACCUCGUGGGUGUGGCCGGCGGCGACCUCGGCAGGCGACAGCCCAGCAGACGGGCACCAGGUGGACGUGCCAGUCUCCAGACCCCCGUCCCGGUGCAGGGAAGGUGGGCGUUUGGACCCCUGAGGCAGAAACAGGUGCGGCCCCGCCGGCGCAUCCCCCGGAAGGGACGCUGACUUCGUUCCCCUGGAGCCUGCGUCGGGGCCCGCGCUGGGCUGAGAAUUACGGGAACGCCGUGAGAGUUUGCAUUCCGAGGAUUUGGUCUGAGAACCUCACCAGCGAAAUAGAGAACUGCCCCCGGGAGAGCCGGCCCACGUGCCGCCCACCGGCGCCUUGACGGCAGGGAGAGGUCGAGCUUCCAGGGAGCGGGCGCCCGGCGCGGGGCUCCCAGCCUGUCUGUACCUGGUCGAGACACCCCGUGCCAGAGGCGGAACAUGUAUGAAAUGCCAGGUGCCCAGAGGACCCAGGCAGUCCGUCAUUCACAUACCAACCCACGUGCAGGCUUCAAUUCAACCUUGAAGCCAUUUGGGCCUGGGCUUUUUUGAUGACUUAUUUGAUUCAUAGUUUUUUGGUUACUAAUUGAGUCUCUUCACUUGUUAUAGGUCUGUUGAGAUUGUCUAUUUUUUCUUGAGUCAGCCGUCUGAAAAGAACACGAGGUGGACAGGGCAGAGCGGUCAAGGAAAGCCAUAGGAGGAGGGCACUUAUUUGAGCAAAGACCGGCGGGACGUGGGCGUCGAGGGUAAGGAUAUCUGCAGAAGUACUGUCUUGAGCAAGGAGCACGGCAGACAGAGCCUCUGAGACACGAGAGCCUGGAGUGUAAGAAACACAGUAGAGGCCACUAAGUCGAGAACGCAGGAGCUGGAAGGACUGGCAUUAAAAGCAUUAUCUGAAUCUCAAAGAAAAGUCCAAGACCUGAUGGUUUCCUGGUGAAUUCUACCAAACGUGUAAAGAAGAACUAAUACGAGCCCUUCAUAAACAUUUCCAAAAAACUGAAGAGAAGGGAACACUUCUUAACGCAUUCUAUGAGGCCAGCAUUACCCUGGUACCAAAGCCAGACAUACACAUGACAAGAAAAGAAAACUACAGACCAAUAUUCCUUAUGAACACUGAUGCAAAAAACCUCAACAAAGUACUGGCAAACUUCAGCGGCAUAUUGAAAGGAUUAUACACUAUGACCAAGGAGAUUUAUUCCUGGAAUUCAAGGAUGGCUUAGUAUACAAAAAAAAAAAAAUCAGUGUACUACACUAUACUAACAGCAUGAAGGAAAAAACUACAUGAUCAUCUCAAUUGAUGCAGAAAAAGCAUUUGACAAAACAACACCCUUUCAUGAUAAAACCACUCAACAGAUUAGGACUGGAAGGCAACUACCUCAACAUAAUAGAAGCCAUUUAUGCAAAGCCCACAUCUAACACUGCUCAGUGAUGAAAGGCUGAAAACUUUUCCUGUAAAAUCAGGAAUAAGAGGCCGGGU